ACACGUAGGGGGCGAGCGUUGUUCGGAAUCAUUGGGCGUAAAGGGCGCGCAGGCGGCGAGGCAAGUCCGGUGUGAAAGUGCUCGGCUCAACCGAGUGAUGCGCUGGAAACUGCCCUGCUUGAGUACAGGAGGGGACGUCGGAAUUCCAGGUGUAGGGGUGAAAUCUGUAGAUAUCUGGAAGAACACCGAUGGCGAAGGCAGGCAUCUGGCCGGAGACUGACGCUGAGGCGCGAAGGCGCGGGGAGCGAACAGGUUUAGAUACCCUGGUAGUCCGCGCAGUAAACGAUGCGCACCAGGUGUCGGGCGGCAGCGCCCGGUACCGGAGCUAACGCGAUGAGUGCGCCGCCUGGGGAGUAUGCCCGCAAGGGUGAAACUCAAAGGAAUUGGCGGGG
rnacentral:rRNA from 1 species